UACGAAGGGGGCUAGCGUUGCUCGGAAUCAUUGGGCGUAAAGAGCGUGUAGGCGGUCCGGUAAGUCCGCUGUGAAAGUCGGGGGCUCAACCCUCGAAUGCCGGUGGAUACUGUCGGGCUUGAGUACGGAAGAGGCGAGUGGAAUUCCUGGUGUAGCGGUGAAAUGCGCAGAUAUCAGGAGGAACACCUAUUGCGAAGGCAGCUCGCUGGGACGUUACUGACGCUGAGACGCGAAAGCGUGGGGAGCAAACAGG
rnacentral:rRNA from 1 species